AACGUAGGUACCGAGCGUUAUCCGGAUUUACUGGGCGUAAAGCGCGUUCAGGCGGUUUGGCAAGUCGGGCAUGAAAUCUCUCGGCUCAACCGGGAGAGGUUGUCCGAUACUUCCAGACUUGAGGGCAGUAGAGGGUGGUGGAAUUCCGGGUGUAGUGGUGAAAUGCGUAGAUAUCCGGAGGAACACCAGUGGCGAAAGCGGCCACCUGGACUGCACCUGACGCUGAGGCGCGAAAGCGUGGGGAGCAAACAGG
rnacentral:rRNA from 1 species